CCGCGGGACCGGAAGGUGUCCCCGAGGCGGUCGCGGAAGUAGAGGAAGCCUUCGUCGUCCAGGGCCAGCACGUCCCCGGUGUUGUAGUAAAGGUCGUUCGGGCGCCGCACGUUCUUCACCAACUUCCUUUCUGUGUGCUCCCGGGGCCCACGGUAGCCCAGGAAAGGUUGGUGACGCAGCACCUGGGUCAGCAGGAGCCCUGCCUCCCCUGGGGGGUAGGAGUGGGAGUCGGGCAUUAGCCGUGGACGAGAACAUCAGGGGCCCACCAGGCCGCGGCCGGGACUCUGACAGAGAAGAGACAGAGAGAGACCCAGAAACAGAUCCAGAGACAGAAAAUGAGAGGCAGAAGGAGAGAGAAGGUGGCAUCAGGGAGUCCAUUAGAAAUAGGGGACCACCGCCGCGGAAAGGAACCCGGAGGAGUCUCUGCAGGGAGGGUCGGGAAGGGAGACGCUAGGGGGAUGGAUGAGUCUUCAGCUGCUGCGAAGUCGAGCUUGUGGAAGGACAAUUAAGGCUCGUACUGUGUGGCCCCACAGGGGCAGAAAUAGAAUCAGCGGGUGGAAAUUGCAGGGAGGCAGCUGAGGUCAAUAUAAAGAAGAUCCUUGCAAUCACCAGUUAGCUAUCAGUGUAAUGGGCUGUUCCAGGGGGUAGUCAGCAACUUUGUAGGCGUGCACAUAGGGCUGGGUUCAUUCACUCAACAAACUGACCUCUGGCCGUGGGCCACACAAUAUGCUGGGGGUAGAUAUUAAAUAAUUGUAUGUAUAGCACAAUACCUGCCACAUAGUAAAUGUUAUCUAAGUGUUAAAGAAAGAAAGAAAGAAAAGAAAUAGGGAAAGGCUAACAAGGAUGGGCGAGGGAGAGAGGCAAAUGGUGGUGGGAAGAGAGCGAUUCCGCCAGGACCUUGCAACGCCCCCGGAGAGAAGACCCUAGGAGAAGGUUCAGGACAAGAGAUAGAUGACUGGGAGGAUGUGACUUCCACAGAAAGCUCAAGAGAACAAGUCAAAUGGACGAGAGGUUGAGGCAGAGCUGGGCAGAGCUGACAAGCUGCGAGGGAGAGCGCCCCGGACCGCCGUCAGACAGGCCUGGGGCUCAGGGUCAGGUGAGGACUGCAGACACCACCACUGGACCUCAGCCUCAAGGCUUUGGGUGGCUUGUUCCAGCCACGGAGGAGACUGAGGGUCUCCACCCUUCCCACACCCUGGGAAGGUUCUCCAGCCCCCAUACCUGGCCUCGCAGGGAUGCAGAGGCCCCAGCUGUCCCUCACAGGCUCCUCUGUCUCCAUGCUGUACUGUACAAGCUCGAAGGGGGACAGCAUCUGAGUGGAGGGUGGGGAGAUGUCAGCAGAGGUCCUGUGGGCUCAGCCUCAAUCAGGGCCACUGUCACACCCAACACACUCACUCGAAGGAAGCAGCUUAUCUUGCCCUGGGCCCCACAGCGCCCUGGAUAGUUGACAAAGCCACCGUUGCCUUCCGUGGAGCCGUAGACUUCCCAGAUCCGAAUGGGGCCAAAGCGCUGCUGGAAGGUCUCCCACACUUCUGCCCGGAGUCCACUGCCAAUCGCCAGGCGGACUUUAUGUGUUCGGUCCUCUGGCCGCUGCAGGGACAUCCCAAGAAGGAAGAGGACACUGAGGCUGAGAGACGUGAAGUCACCUGCCCAAGAUAGCACAGCUGAUCAUCAAAGCAGCCAUGACUGGAAACCUUGUGUGGGACUCUGUCCGUGCCUCUUGUCUGGGGUGUUUUAUUGAUACCUGAGCAACCUUGCUUGAGCCCUGGACUGAAUCUACCUGAGAUCUUUACCUGGGAUGACUCCUGGGGUGUCCACCUUGGAGCCCUAAUCUUAGCACCUCACCUGGGGGGUGUUGCACAGGUACCGCAGGACCUCGCCCACAUACUGGAUCACAGUCACACCAUGCUGCCGACAGUCGUCCCAGAAGCAGGAGGCAGAGAACUUGGGGGCCAGGACACAGGUCACUCCUUGGAGGGAGGAGAGGAAAGGGUUUCAGGUCAUCCUUCCAAGCCACUGUGAGAAGCUGCUUUGAUCACCUGGCUGUGGCCCCUGAAACCCAAGAUGACAUCAGGCUCACCUCUGUGUUGCUGGCCCAGCCAAAACUAUUCCCAUGAGAAGAGCACAGCCGAGCCUGAGUUUGAAUCCCGUCUCCAGAAUGUGUGGAAAGCUCGGUGCCUGGUACAAAGUGAGCACUGCUGAAUACGGGCUGUGAGUAGGAAUCACUCUUGAUUGUGAUAAAUGUCUUAGGAAUGUCUAGCUCGGCAAAUGGAUAGAUGGAUGAAUGGGUAGGUGGGUGGAAGGAUGGAUGGGUGAUGGAUGGGCGGGUUGGUGGAUGGAUAUAUGGAUGUUCUGAAGGAUGGACACAUGGAUUAAUACAUCUUAGGGGCCACUACAUCCACUCCAGGAAAGUGCUCCCUCCCUUUCUGAUCCCCUCCUCUGCAGCUGGCUCUGUGGAUGGCACUCUCCUUACCUCAACCCUAACCCUCAACAAAACCCUGAAAGCUAAGUACCAUCCCUGCACCCAAAGGGACGAUGGCUCGUGUGCUUGGUGAGGUAGCAAGUAUGUGUCUUCUUCGAGGCUGUAUCUUGACGGAGGUGAAAUAUAAUGCCCUCUCUGUGAAAAUGGAUGCUGGGUCCUUGAAAGAGAUAGCUUUGUUAGCAACCCCUAGUGAAAUGCCUGGAUUCGGGAAAGGUCUUCAAGAGCUGCUAAAACCAGGGGGGAGGUUGAUAAGGAUUUUUCCAAUGAAAGCUUCCCAAUUCUUCUCAGCCUAAGGUAGGAUCCCAGUUUUGAGCAGCCUCCAAUGUGACAAAUUAGCAGGCACUUUGCACCCCACCAAGGUUCUUGACAAGAAUAAUUGAACUGAAUCUGAAAACAUCUCUAGAGGGAACAUCUAGUCUACCAGGAAGUGUGGGAGGGAGAGGAGCAGAGACCAAGCAAGCAAGUACAAUGAGAAGAGUUUAACUGCAAAAAGACAGUAAGACAAUUGGGGAAAUUUUUAACAUGAAGUGCACAUCAGAUAAUAUCAAAGAGUUACUGUUAAUUUUUUCAGGUGUGAUGAUCACUCUCGUUACAGUUUUUUAAGGCCUUACCUGUUAGAGAUACAUACUGCAAUAUUCACCAACAAAAAGAUAGCGUCUGGGAUUUGCUCCAAAAUAAUCCAGAAAGCAGGAAGGGAGUACAUACGAAAUAAAAUUGGCAACAUGUUAACAAUUGUUGAGGCUGGGUGAGGAUAUGGGAAGCGUCAUCAAACUAUCUGCUCUGCUUUAGUGUAUGUUUGAAACUGUCCAUGAUUUUAAAUUUUUUAAAUAAAAUAUGAGUAAAAAGACAA